rnacentral:piRNA from 1 species
UGACAAGUGUCCUAGCUCCCUUUGAUGUGU